AUUCACGCUAUACUUUUAAUAAAUAUCUGAUUUAUACUUAUACAUUCACUUGCCAGCAAUAUUAUGUUAUCUUGGAUAACGAUAAAGACAGAUGCAUGAGAAAUAGAUAUCCAUUGGGACUAUUUUCGGCAUCACUAUUGUUACAAAGUUUCAAUUAAGAGUUUCAAAAGGAAUGAACAAGUAUAGUUAAAUAGUUUAAAUACCAUCACAGACACGGUAAAUGGAGUUGUGUCAAUCUGUUGCUAUUGUUCUAAAUGCCAGAUCAACUGGCAAUUACUCUAUUUAGCAAGAUCAGGGGCCGGUUCACUCUUAACUACGUUUUAACCACCAUUUUGUAGUUAAAUAGUAGUUAACUCUAAAAUACGCUAUUUUGAUUGGUUGAAUUUCGCAAUACGCGAUAAUGAUUGGUUGAAUUUCGCAAUACGCGAUUUUGAUUGGUUGAAUCAGGGUUGGAUUUCGCAAUACGCGAUCUUGAUUGGUUGGAUUUCGCAAUACGCGAUCUUGAUUGGUUGGAUUUCGCACUAACUGUAGUUAACUUUAACUGCCUUUUGUCCUUUUUAUACAACCGGCCCCAGAUUAUAAGCUUUUGGUUCUCCCAGGGCAUCUCUUAACCAGGGGUGCCUAAUUAUUUAUCCACCUAAUAUAGUCCAGUUAUAUUCAUCCAGGACGUCCUGGUCUAACUAUAGACUAUUGUAGGAAAAAGGUUAAAAUAACCAGAAAAUUUACUCGGAAUAUUAAAGUUAACCCAAAUAGGAUUAUUUCUAGGUUAAAAUCUGGAAACUUUUGACCAGAGUGUUUUUUAGUUCGAUUAUCAACUGAUAGCUUUGACUAAUCCUGACUGAAUACACCUCUCCCCAAAGUACUUAGCCUUGGUCAUACCAUAGCCUAUCGAGGGGAAGAUGGCUGUGAAACUCAUUGGAAUAACAAUAUAACUCAUUAUCUAUGUUGGUCAACGUUUAUUCAUAAAUCUGGUCCGUCACAUGUGUAUUGUAUUCUUGCCCAACUAGCCAAUAACAAUGUUUUAGGAAAGUCAUCUAUACGUGACUCGGACAAUAGGGAAACUGGAAAUUACUAUUGGUGGAUUUGGUAAAAAUACCGAUACACACGUAACGGUGAAACGACCAGAUUUAUGAAUAAACGUUAACUAACAUAGAUAAUGAGUUAUAUUGUUAUUCUAAUGAGUUUCACAGCCAUCUUCCCUUCGAUAGGCUAUGGUCAUAUACAGCAUUAUUUUCGAAAUUGAAAUAUCAGCUUUA